rnacentral:rRNA from 1 species
UACGUAGGGAGCAAGCGUUGUACGGAAUCAUUGGGCGUAAAGCGCGCGUAGGCGGCCCUGUAAGUCCGUUGUGAAAGUCAAAGGCUCAACCUUUGAAAGCCGAUGGAUACUGCAGGGCUAGAGUCCGGAAGAGGCGAGUGGAAUUCCUGGUGUAGCGGUGGAAUGCGCAGAUAUCAGGAGGAACACCGAUGGCGAAGGCAGGUCUCUGGGCCACUACUGACGCUGAGAAGCGAAAGCAUGGGGAGCGAACAGG